GCCUACUUAAUGUGCAGGCCGUGGGGCAGUUUACCCGGUAAAGCGAAUGAUUAGAGCUCUUGGGGCCGAAACGAUCUCAACCUAUGCUCAAACUUUGAAUGGGUAAGGGGGCCGGCUCGCUGGCGUUGUGGAGCCGCGCCAUGGAAUGCGAGUGCUCAGUGGGCCACUUUUGGUAAGCAGAACUGGCACUGCGGGAUGAACCG
rnacentral:ncRNA from 1 species